rnacentral:rRNA from 1 species
GAUGAACGCUGGCGGCGUGCCUAAUACAUGCAAGUCGAGCGAACGGACGAGAAGCUUGCUUCUCUUAUGUUAGCGGCGGACGGGUGAGUAACACGUGGAUAACCUACCUAUAAGACUGGGAUAACUUCGGGAAACCGGAGCUAAUACCGGAUAAUAUUUUGAACCGCAUGGUUCAAAAGUGAAAGACGGUCUUGCUGUCACUUAUAGAUGGAUCCGCGCUGCAUUAGCUAGUUGGUAAGGUAACGGCUUACCAAGGCAACGAUGCAUAGCCGACCUGAGAGGGUGAUCGGCCACACUGGAACUGAGACACGGUCCAGACUCCUACGAGAGGCAGCAGUAGGGAAUCUUCCGCAAAGGGCGAAAGCCUGACGGAGCAACGCCGCGUGAGUGAUGAAGGUCUUCGGAUCGUAAAACUCUGUUAGUAGGGAAGAACAUAUGUGUAAGUAACUGUGCACAUCUUGACGGUACCUAAUCAGAAAGCCACGGCUAACUACGUG